GACGAACGCUGGCGGCGUGCUUAACACAUGCAAGUCGAACGGAAAGGCCCUGCUUUUGUGGGGUGCUCGAGUGGCGAACGGGUGAGUAACACGUGAGUAACCUGCCCUUGACUUUGGGAUAACUUCAGGAAACUGGGGCUAAUACCGGAUAGGAGCUCCUGCUGCAUGGUGGGGGUUGGAAAGUUUCGGCGGUUGGGGAUGGACUCGCGGCUUAUCAGCUUGUUGGUGGGGUAGUGGCUUACCAAGGCUUUGACGGGUAGCCGGCCUGAGAGGGUGACCGGUCACAUUGGGACUGAGAUACGGCCCAGACUCCUACGGGAGGCAGCAGUGGGGAAUAUUGCACAAUGGGCGGAAGCCUGAUGCAGCAACGCCGCGUGCGGGAUGAUGGCCUUCGGGUUGUAAACCGCUUUCGCCUGUGACGAAGCGUGAGUGACGGUAAUGGGUAAAGAAGCACCGGCUAACUACGUG
rnacentral:rRNA from 1 species